UCUCUCUGUACGGGAAGGAUGAGAAGCUUCGACUAAGGUUCGAUUCGAGCGCAGCGAGAAAGCGUUGCCGCAGGCAACGACCCGAAGGGCGAAGCGCGCAGCGCUGAGUAAUCCUUCCCCCACCACCA
rnacentral:sRNA from 2 species